AUAUCACUGGCUUUCUCUUCUUACCUGAGGCCUUCUGAAGCAUACUUCCAUGCUCUACAGAGUCUCGAAGAAAGCAGCAGCAUGAUGCAAACUAUGAAUUUCAAAGGUGUUUCCCAUGGAUGCUCCUGCAGGCAGUGAGGAGGCCAGAGAUGUGAGUGUCACAAAAGCAGCAAAGAAGCAAAACAUCUCCUUUGGGCUCCUGUGGCUGUGUUUGCCCCCAAGUGCCAGCCCAUGCUCUGUUUUCUCCAGUGGUCAAGCCCUGCUGGAUUGACCAAAAGUUGCUCCAUCCCUGGGGUCAGUCAGAGCCCCAUGGGACUAUGGGAAAGGCUUGGUGAGUGGGAGCGUUCUACAUUGAGGGCAGGCAGGGUGGUGAUGUUCAUGGCUUCAUCAAGGGCUCCUUUUUCUUUGCAAAGAACUCUUGCUUGCUCGCUCAGCUUGCUGCACUGGUGAGAAUGUACUUACUGGCUUAACUACUGAGAUAUCUCUAAUGGAGAAUUUAAUCUCCAGAGCGUUGCUGUCUCUUAUGUUUCCUGUGUCUUAGGUGCUCAAUAAAUGCUUGCU
rnacentral:lncRNA from 7 species